AGCUCCAAUAGCGUAUAUUAAAGUUGUUGCAGUUAAAAAGCUCGUAGUUGGAUUUGUGGUGUGUGGUGGGUUCCGGGCACUUGUUGUCUGAGUAACUUGCCGCUGCCAUCCUUGGGUGGAACCUGUGUGGCAUUAGGUUGUCGUGCAGGGGAUGCCCAUCGUUUACUGUGAAAAAAUUAGAGUGUUCAAAGCAGGCUUAUGCCGUUGAAUAUAUUAGCAUGGAAUAAUGAGAUAGGACUUUUUCGCUAUUUUGUUGGUUUGCGCGAGAAGGUAAUGAUUAAUAGGGACAGUUGGGGGUAUUCGUAUUCCAUUGUCAGAGGUGAAAUUCUUGGAUUUUUGGAAGACGAACUACUGCGAAAGCAUUUACCAAGGAUGUUUUCAUUAAUCAAGAACGAAAGUA
rnacentral:rRNA from 1 species